rnacentral:misc_RNA from 1 species
AGGUUUCGCUGAGAUGAGAAAUAACUCAAUAUAAUCAUCAUUCCCCUCCUGGGGUUUACAUGCAAGAGAAACCUACAUUAAAAUCAAACAAGGGAACAUGACUGUCUUUUAUAUUAUUUGCAGGGUCAUCCAAGUUCUCUUCACUCAGAAAUCAUCCCGGAAACGUAAAUGUAUCAAAAGUUGCAGCCUUCCAUAUGCCUGGCAGACUUAUGCCUCUGGUUCGG